AUUGAACGCUGGCGGCAGGCUUAACACAUGCAAGUCGAGCGGAGAUGAGGUGCUUGCACCUUAUCUUAGCGGCGGACGGGUGAGUAAUGCUUAGGAAUCUGCCUAUUAGUGGGGGACAACAUUCCGAAAGGAAUGCUAAUACCGCAUACGUCCUACGGGAGAAAGCAGGGGAUCCUCGGACCUUGCGCUAAUAGAUGAGCCUAAGUCGGAUUAGCUAGUUGGUGGGGUAAAGGCCUACCAAGGCGACGAUCUGUAGCGGGUCUGAGAGGAUGAUCCGCCACACUGGGGCUGAGACACGGCCCAGACUCCUACGGGAGGCAGCAGUGGGGAAUAUUGGACAAUGGGGGGAACCCUGAUCCAGCCAUGCCGCGUGUGUGAAGAAGGCCUUAUGGUUGUAAAGCACUUUAAGCGAGGAGGAGGCUACUGAGACUAAUACUCUUGGAUAGUGGACGUUACUCGCAGAAUAAGCACCGGCUAACUCUGUGCCAGCCGCCGCAGUAA
rnacentral:rRNA from 1 species